rnacentral:lncRNA from 1 species
AUUGCCAAUCACUAUAAUAAUUACCUGAUUUUUUUUAAUUAUUAAUAUUAUUUUGGUGUUAUACUGAUUGGAUGUUAUAUUUGAUCAGUUCAGAAAGUGAUCUGAAGACGAGAGGGGGCACAGAUACUACUACUUGUGGUUUGAUCUAAUUUAGUAGUUUCCCCGAUUUCUUUGAAUCAUUGAUUUUGUUUCUCUCAAUUCUUUUGGAUGAUUUUAAUUCUUUUUCGUUUAUGGGUAUUUUGUUAUGUUUAUUGAUGCUUCAUAUUCUUGCUGUUUGAUUGAUUCUUGUUGCAGCAUACUUUCCAUUUUCAUGAAAUUGGCACUUUCACUUUGUAUUGUCAUUUGAGAGCUGUUCAUAUGCAUCAUAAUAUUGAAUUCUUUCGGUUGAGCCUUUUUUAUUUAUGGGUUUUUAUCAAAUAUGGAAAUUAUACUGAUCUUGGCCUUAUUUGAUCUAUUCUAUAAGCAAAUUGUGAUGAUAAUUGUAGUUAUGAACCCAAAGAUGAUUACUGACUCCGAAUUUAUUUUGUGCUGCGUGGUCCAAUUCUUGACAAGUCCUCAAGUCAAUAUGAGUCAAUGGUUGUGUGAUAAAAAUAGUAUUAACCAUUCAGAAUGAUAAAACAUGCACCCUCUUGGGUUUUUUUUAACAUCACUUUGUCCAAUUUCAUUCUUACUUAAAUUUAUACAUACUUUAGCAUAGAUUGCUUUGUUCAAUUUCAUUCAUUCAUUCAAACAUGCAUACAUGCCUAUGUAUGUAUAUAGAUCCAUAGCCAUGUGUGGAUGCCUACUAGCUAGUACAUCUAUGUUUUUCUGGGUGUAAAAAUGUAAAAUUCUAUGUGCAUAGAGUUGCUACUUAUUAUGUGUUCGCGGAUCUUUUAUAUUCGUCAUAUUAGACACUGGCUCAAGGUUUGUAUUUGCUUAAUUUUUAAGUCCAAGGCUACCAACGGUACAUGCAGUGUGCACAAAUUUUUAUAAUAAAACCACUUUGAAAAAUCGACUCUUCAGUUUACUGCACCAACUUCUGAUAGUAAUUUUUGGUUUCUUUCUUCACUAUUUUA